UACGUAGGGUGCGAGCGUUAAUCGGAAUUACUGGGCGUAAAGCGUGCGCAGGCGGUUCGUUGUGUCUGAUGUGAAAGCCCCGGGCUCAACCUGGGAAUGGCAUUGGAAACUGGCGAGCUGGAGUGUGGCGGAGGGGGGUGGAAUUCCGCGUGUAGCAGUGAAAUGCGUAGAGAUGCGGAGGAACACCGAUGGCGAAGGCAGCCCCCUGGGCCAACACUGACGCUCAGGCACGAAAGCCAGGGGAGCGAACGGG
rnacentral:rRNA from 1 species